UAAUACCGCAUAACGUCGCAAGACCAAAGAGGGGGACCUUCGGGCCUCUUGCCAUCGGAUGUGCCCAGAUGGGAUUAGCUAGUAGGUGGGGUAACGGCUCACCUAGGCGACGAUCCCUAGCUGGUCUGAGAGGAUGACCAGCCACACUGGAACUGAGACACGGUCCAGACUCCUACGGGAGGCAGCAGUGGGGAAUAUUGCACAAUGGGCGCAAGCCUGAUGCAGCCAUGCCGCGUGUAUGAAGAAGGCCUUCGGGUUGUAAAGUACUUUCAGCGGGGAGGAAGGGAGUAAAGUUAAUACCUUUGCUCAUUGACGUUACCCGCAGAAGAAGCACCGGCUAACUCCGUGCCAGCAGCCGCGGUAAUACGGAGGGUGCAAGCGUUAAUCGGAAUUACUGGGCGUAAAGCGCACGCAGGCGGUUUGUUAAGUCAGAUGUGAAAUCCCCGGGCUCAACCUGGGAACUGCAUCUGAUACUGGCAAGCUUGAGUCUCGUAGAGGGGGGUAGAAUUCCAGGUGUAGCGGUGAAAUGCGUAGAGAUCUGGAGGAAUACCGGUGGCGAAGGCGGCCCCCUGGACGAAGACUGAC
rnacentral:rRNA from 1 species